rnacentral:rRNA from 1 species
UACAGAGGUGGCAAGCGUUUGUUCGGAAUUACUGGGCGUAAAGGGCGCGUAGGCGGCCUUGUAAGUCCUGUGUGAAAUCCCCCGGCUCAACUGGGGAACUGCACAGGAGACUGCUUGGCUUGAGUUCGGGAGAGGGAAGCGGAAUUCCGGGUGUAGCGGUGAAAUGCGUAGAUAUCCGGAGGAACACCGGUGGCGAAGGCGGCUGACUGGUCCGGUUCUGACGCUGAGGCGCGAAAGCGUGGGGAGCAAACAGGG